GCCAAACGCCUUAGGUAGUGGGAGUCAGCUCCAUUCUCUUGAUAUUUAGUUUUAAUCGGGAAGCAGCUGUGUGUCUUAAAAUUACCGCAAAUUCUAAUAGCCAUUAAAGUCACCGAGGAUCCACCAAUAAAAUAUGGAUCUAAUCAUGAAUUUCUAGUGAGAACUCUCCUGUGUAUGCUGCUGCCAGCCAGGGAAUGUAAUUAGAUAUUUAUUUAUAAUAUAAUUUAUGAUUCAGACUUGAAAGUACCUAGAUUCAGAGGUACAGAAAUAAAUGUACUGUACUUACAAUCCAAUAUAGUGGUCAAGUGUAUUGGUACUAAGAAAUAUAUAUUAUGCUGUAGUGUAUUGAUAAAGCUUAAGAGCAAAAGUAAACGUCGGGAGUCUUAAGUCAGGCAGAAGCAUUUUGUCACACAGGCUGUGGCGUGUGGUUGGUGCUUCUAAACAAAGGAACAGAUGUGAAAUGUAAAAAAAUCUGUAACUUGUAAAAAAAAAAGAACAAAUAGUGUAAAAACGGCUGUGACUAAUAAGAAAAAAAAUCUGGUGAGAGUUGUAAAUACUGUAUACGAAAAACAACUUUGGAUGUAAAUAAAUAAUAGUCCUAACUUGUAAAUAAAAGGAAAAGAAAUUUGAAUAACCAAAAUAAAAGCAAUUGUAACCUGUAAAGAGAAGAAAAACAGCUGUGACCUUUAAAUGGAAACACCUGCGAUGAAAAGAAGGCAGCUGUGAAACUACUGUAACGCGUUCACAAAGAAGAGAACAAGGUUGCGUACAGCCACUCCCAGCACCAAACUUACUUGUGUGAGCGUAUUGAUUAACGCAAGUGCGUCAUAGCCAUGGGUCUUUGACUUCAACAGCCCUCGACAACCUACUGUAGUCAUCCCCAGAACCACCUAGUUCCCGUUUUCGUUAUGAAGCUUCGAAUCGGCCGCUGGACUUUUCGAUUCAGAGUAUCAGGUCUUUUAAAGAAUUACCAGCGACUCUGAUUCACUGAAUUAAGUCAGCAAUUCACAUAUGACGAUGUGUGAAGUGUUUUAUAAGUGUUAAAUUCAACUAAUAAAGUACAAUAGUGACAAUAUAAGGUACUUAAAGGUGUGUAUGAGUUAAAAUAAUAUUAUUAUAGACCUAAAGAGAUGUAAACGAAUGCUGGUGCUAGAACAGCUGUUCUCAGUUUGUAAACGCAGACGAGACGAUGGGUUAGGCUUCCCGGGAGUUAAAGGACUGCUACCUUGUCUCCGUCAGUCAUUGUUGCUCUACUUUCUGUUCGCUUCAUCUAUUACCUUCACGCUACACGUCUCUACCAGUUUCAUUCACCAGGGAGCAGAGCGUUACCGUGAUGUAAGGCGUGAGAAGCAGGAUGGCCCGAGGCUGUGACAACAACAUGACCGACCAGACCCAAACUCCACACCAGCUGGACUGCACUGUGCCGACCAUCGAGAUACAGGGAAGCGGGGGAGACGAAGACGACGAUGACGACGCUUCCGUCUUCCUACAGCAGCUCGGUAUCAACUACGGCAUCACGGCGCGGUCCAAGGCCAGCAGGAAGUCCAUCGUCCACAGCAAAGACUUGAUAGAUGUGUCGCGGGUGGGGUCGGCAGUGUCGACGGUG